UGAAUUGGUUUCUCUUAAUUUUUACUAUCUUACUUCUGUCAAUUGAUGAGUUAGUGAAAUUAGAACAAUGCACAAUACAAACACACAAGAAGUAUAGUGGUUCGGUGCUCUCCUAAGCACCUACGUCCACUCCUCAAGCGACCCCUUGAAAAUUCACUAUAAUCCCGCGGAUUAUAGUUGGAUUAUUUUUCGGGCUCACAAUCCAAAAAUCUUUACACUUUGGUUUUCCGGGAUCACCAAAAACCUAUGUUGGUUUUACGGGCUCACCAACGAACCUUCACAAUUGGUUUUACAGGUUCACCAAUAAACCUACACCGUUGGUUUUACGGGCUCACCAACAAACCUUUACAAGGUGAUUAAUAAAAAGAAAGAAGAAAGUUGAAACUC
rnacentral:lncRNA from 1 species